ACGCUUCCCCCCCCCAAACACCCUCUUUUCUCUCAGAAACACCCGCUUUCUCCCCCAAAACACCCGCUUUCCCUCCAAAAAACACCCGCUUUUCUCCCCCGAAACGCCCGCUGCUCUCCCCUCAAAAACACAACGUUUUGCCCUGAAAAACACUCGCUUUGCCCCAAAGAACACCGUCUUUCCCCAAAAACAGCGGCGCGAGGCGGCCCGCGCCCCCCCGGCCGCGCCGCCAUUACAGCGCCGGCCGCGCUCCGCCGGCCGUGAGGCGAGAGAAAGCGGCGGGGUUUCUGAGCGAGAUAAAAAUCUUAUUAUGCAACGCACAUUUUUAAUAGAUUAGUGCCGAGUCCAGGGGUGAGUCUCCAGAGCCAUCUGAAAACGUUCUGCCUGUGCUCAAUCUCAAGAAACUCGAUACAGUCCCAAGGGUAAAAAAACCACAUUUAAAGGAUGGUCUCGGUUAUAUUUAGCUGAGCAGCAGCACAGGCUGAGACGAGCAGAAACACAAGGAAGAACAAAGUGGAAACGCUCGACAGUUGGUAACAAAAACCUGCGAGUAUCUGAGGUGGAUUUUUUUUUAAUUUUCCUUUCCCUAAUUCACAUUUCGCCGUGCACAGAGAACAUCAAAGCAGCACAUGGGUUUAUGUGAACAAAAGGAGCGUGCUCAACCCUGCCGUUCUAACCAGAAGACAUGAAAAAUAUGCAGCUCAUCUCUACAGCGCAAAAUUUAUGUGGAAUUACUGAACCUCGACAAAAGCCAUCUCACAAAUUCUUCAAUAAAGACUAAACAGCUACAUUUAACCUCAUUUUUCCCUAUUUUUCAUCUGUUCUCAGCACAGGCAUCUCCAAACCCUCUCAAAAUCCCAAAUCCCAGCUAAGUCAGUGAUUCAUCACUUCUGGCAGCAACAAAGCGGGAAGGAGGAGAUGAAGACAAUGCUCUUGAGAACCACAAGCAAGGAAGCCCAAACUUCUCCUUCACCACCUUUCUGCUCGUUUCUCACAGCUCACACAGGACAGUGCCAGGCACAAAAACUCCCACCGGUGUUGAACACCCACCGUGUGUCCCAAACACCCCCUCCCUGAGGAAACACAACUUUGCCUUUUCCACCUGCCAGCUGAGACCGGAGUGACCAAGUUCUUCUGCUUCAGAAGAAUUCAGUGCCAUAAAGACCUUAAUAAUUUCAUAAAAUUGGACAUUUUCAUUUAUAAAAAGGCCGUAAGAAUCUCCAGCUUGCUAAAAUCCCUGAGAGUACCACGGAAAUUGCAGGAAAUAAUUAUUCUCCUGACAAAUGAAACUGGAUAUUGCACAGUGAGUGGGAGCAGAGUGAAAAGGGGAUGAGGCAGCUUUCGCUCGCCACAGGGUAUGAGGGGCUUAAUAUUUACGUGGCAAAAUUCAGAAUGUGUUAAAAAUCAAACAGAAAAAAACACUUGUGCUUUGAAAGGCUUCAAGGCCAGGUGGGGUUUUGCUUCCCAAAGUAAAGAGAGGUUAAAUGUUUAUUAAUAUCUCACCGAUUGCUGAGCAACAUGUAAAACUGCUCUCUCUUCAAAAUUAAAUAGACAAUCCACCAGAUUCUGUUACUCGCUCAACUGAGUUUGAUUUUACUAUAUUAAUAAGAAAAAAAUGUUUAUUUCCUCCCUGAGCAUCGUCUACUUUUCCAUUACUACAACCAGAAAUUGCCAAGAAAAUGAAACGCUCAAGCACAGCAGACGCUGCUUUUCUUCUCAUUAAAUCUGAAAACUUAGUUCCAGUGGGAUCGUAUUUAGUCCUCUCAAAUCCAGAACAGGAUUUCAUCCCGCCUCAACAUCCCAACAAUGACAUUUUACAAAUAUUACAAGUUUCUUGGACUCCCUUCUCACUCUGCAAGAAGCAAAGGAGCACCAGAAGAGAUUUCCCCCCCCCUUCUGCUUGGGAUUUUUUUAUUAAACCUUAAAUGUAACCAGCCCUCCUUUCAAAUCCAUCUUCUCUAGGAUUUUUUUUUUUUUGAGACCUCUGGAAGUCUCCGGGAUUUUUUUAAGUGGUAAUAAGUGUGAAAAGUCUUUGACAAAGGGUUGUCUUUAUCCAAGCCUUAAGCUCUCAUUGAGAGAGGUGUUAGAAAUAAACAAACAGGCGCUUAAAGCAGCCUAAAAGUCCUCUCAAAUCUUCUUCACCUGCUCUCCAGCCAAGACACCACCUGGAUUUCUAAAUCCAGGAAGAGAAAACAAUAAUUAAAAGAAGUAAAUAAAUAUUGGCAUGAUUCUUUACACAUGAGGGGAUGAGGAAAUCAGACGAUUUC